GUGGGGAAUUUUGGACAAUGGGCGCAAGCCUGAUCCAGCAAUGCUGCGUGCAGGAAGAAGGCCUUCGGGUUGUAAACUGCUUUUGUACGGAACGAAACGGUCCGGGUUAAUACCCUGGGCUAAUGACGGUACCGUAAGAAUAAGCACCGGCUAACUACGUGCCAGCAGCCGCGGUAAUACGUAGGGUGCAAGCGUUAAUCGGAAUUACUGGGCGUAAAGCGUGCGCAGGCGGUUUUGUAAGACAGGCGUGAAAUCCCCGGGCUCAACCUGGGAAUUUCGCUUGUGACUGCAAGGCUGGAGUGCGGCAGAGGGGGAUGGAAUUCCGCGUGUAGCAGUGAAAUGCGUAGAUAUGCGGAGGAACACCGAUGGCGAAGGCAAUCCCCUGGGCCUGCACUGACGCUCAUGCACGAAAGCGUGGGGAGCAAACAGGAUUAGAAACCCUAGUAGUCC
rnacentral:rRNA from 1 species